GACGAACGCUGGCGGCGUGCUUAACACAUGCAAGUCGAACGGUAAGGCCCUUCGGGGUACACGAGUGGCGAACGGGUGAGUAACACGUGGGUGAUCUGCCCUGCACUUCGGGAUAAGCCUGGGAAACUGGGUCUAAUACCGGAUAGGACCACUGCCUGCAUGGGUGGUGGUGGAAAGCUUUUGCGGUGUGGGAUGGGCCCGCGGCCUAUCAGCUUGUUGGUGGGGUGAUGGCCUACCAAGGCGACGACGGGUAGCCGGCCUGGGAGGGUAACCGGCCAAACUGGGACUGAGAUACGGCCCAGACUCCUACGGGAGGCAGCAGUGGGGAAUAUUGCACAAUGGGCGCAAGCCUGAUGCAGCGACGCCGCGUGAGGGAUGACGGCCUUCGGGUUGUAAACCUCUUUCAGCACCGACGAAGCGCAAGUGACGGUAGGUGCAGAAGAAGGACCGGCCAACUACGUGCCAGCAGCCGCAGUAA
rnacentral:rRNA from 1 species